GGCUCCGUAGUGAAGUUCACGGUGAGUUGCAAGCUCAUAGAUGUGCACUGGUUGUGUACCGGGGUCU
rnacentral:tRNA from 1 species